rnacentral:tmRNA from 1 species
GGGGAUGACCGGUUUUGACAGCGUGUAGAGGUGGUGAGUAAGCAUGCAGAGUAGCGGUGCCCACACUCUAUAAUCAGAGACACCACAAUUUUAAAUGGCGAAAACAACUACGCUCUCGCUGCUUAAUCGAAGCACAGUAAAUUAAGCUCAAUCCGCGCCACAGUGGCGCAGACGAGACAUCGCCCGAUUGUCCACUUCCUGAGACUAAUCGACACGGCGGUGCAGCUAAAUCGGGAAUAGGAGACCAAGAGUUCCGCGAGGUCUCCGAGAUUUCAGGAACUAAGCGUGCGGUUGGUAGUCCUUGGCCUGCCACACGACGAAAACCAAACAUCGACUAAGCAUGUAGAAAGCUCAUUAGUUCCACGUUUGGACGAGGGUUCAAGUCCCUCCAUCUCCACU